rnacentral:rRNA from 1 species
UACGAGAACCCCAAGCGUUAUCCGGAAUCAUUGGGCGUAAAGGGUGUGUAGGUGGCGAUGUUAGUCUUCUGUCAAAAUCUUGGGCUUAACCCAGGUUCUGCAGGGGGAAACGGCAUGGCUAGAGAGUGCGAGAGGUGAAUGGAACUCAUGGAGUAGGGGUGAAAUCCGUUGAUAUCAUGGGGAACACCAAAAGCGAAGGCAAUUCACUGGCGCAUUUCUGACACUGAGACACGAAAGCGUGGGUAGCGAACGGG